GAUGAACGCUAGCUACAGGCUUAACACAUGCAAGUCGAGGGGAAACGACAUCGAAGGCUUGCUUUUGAUGGGCGUCGACCGGCGCACGGGUGAGUAACGCGUAUCCAACCUGCCCACCACUUGGGGAUAACCUUGCGAAAGUAAGACUAAUACCCAAUGACGUCUCUAGAAGACAUCUGAAGGAGAUUAAAGAUUUAUCGGUGAUGGAUGGGGAUGCGUCUGAUUAGCUUGUUGGCGGGGUAACGGCCCACCAAGGCGACGAUCAGUAGGGGUUCUGAGAGGAAGGUCCCCCACAUUGGAACUGAGACACGGUCCAAACUCCUACGGGAGGCAGCAGUGAGGAAUAUUGGUCAAUGGGCGAGAGCCUGAACCAGCCAAGUAGCGUGCAGGAUGACGGCCCUAUGGGUUGUAAACUGCCUUUAUAAGGGAGUAAAGUGAGCCUCGUGAGGCUUUUUGCAUGUACCUUAUGAAUAAGGACCGGCUAAUUCCGUGCCAGCAGCCGCAGUAA
rnacentral:rRNA from 1 species